GUACUACUCUCAGAGUUUGAUCCUGGCUCAGGACGAACGCUGGCGGCGUGCUUAACACAUGCAAGUCGAACGGGAAUCGGUGGAAAGAGGUUUCGGCCAAUGGAAAUCGAGGAUAGUGGCGGACGGGUGAGUAACGCGUGAGCAACCUACCUUUCAGAGGGGGACAACAGCUGGAAACGGCUGCUAAUACCGCAUGAUAUACUGAUGGGGCAUCCUGUUGGUAUCAAAGAUUUAUCGCUGGAAGAUGGGCUCGCGUCUGAUUAGGUAGUUGGUGGGGUAACGGCUCACCAAGCCGACGAUCAGUAGCCGGACUGAGAGGUUGACCGGCCACAUUGGGACUGAGAUACGGCCCAG
rnacentral:rRNA from 1 species